ensembl:misc_RNA Metazoa_SRP Metazoan signal recognition particle RNA
GCCGGGCGCGGUGGCGCGCGCCUGUAAUCCCAGCUACUCGGGAGGCUGAGGCUGGAGGAUCGCUUGAGCCCAGGAGUUCUGGGCUGCAGUGCGCUAUGCCGAUCGGGUGUCCGCACUAAGUUCGGCAUCAAUAUGGUGACCUCCCGGGAGUGGGGGACCACCAGGUUGCCUAAGGAGGGGUGAACCGGCCCAGGUCGGAAACGGAGCAGGUCAAAACUCCCGUGCUGAUCAGUAGUGGGAUCGCGCCUGUGAAUAGCCACUGUACUCCAGCCUGGGCAACAUAGCGAGACCCUGUCUCUU